AACGAAGUGAAGCAUGUUAUUUAAUACGAAAGUACGCGUAAAAUCUUACCAGUUCUUGCAUAGCCAAUCCCUCUUAAUUUUUAAGUUGAAAUCUAAUCCCUCCUUUAUUUCUUAAUUUUAUUAAGAAUAAAAAGGUAAGAAAAGAUUUUUUUUUUUAAUUUAAGACUGGAUUGAGUGAUAAUUAUUUAUUAAUAAGUUUUUUUCCCUUUUCUUGUUUCUUCUCUAUCUAUAGCUAUAUAUUUGCUUUCGUAUUUCUAUUUAAGUAUAGAAGUCUUUCGGAGGCAAAAAAAAAAAUAGUCCCCUCUUUUCACCGCUACGUUCGCGUUGCGAUCGCGUACGCGACUAAAGGAGGAUAGUAAUGAAGGAGACAAAAUAGUGUAAGAAUAUUUAAUUUAUUUAUAUUAAUUUAUCCGUUUACAGG
rnacentral:rRNA from 1 species